UUUGAGGCUCAGAAAACAAAGUAUAAAUCACAAACUGUGAGAUGUGACAGGAAAUGACCUCGUGGAAUUUCAGGCUGGUGUAGAUCAGAGCGGUGCUGUGGUCUGUGGGGGUCUGUGUUUGUCUGUGGGGGUCUGUGUUGGUCUGUGUUUGUCUGUGUUGGUCUGUGUUGGUCUGUGGGGGUCUGUGUUUGUCUGUGUUGGUCUGUGGGGGUCUGUGUUUGUCUGUGUUGGUCUGUGUUGGUCUGUGUUUGUCUGUGGGGGUCUGUGUUGGUCUGAGGGGGUCUGUGUUUGUCUGUGGGGGUCUGUGUUGGUCUGUGUUUGUCUGUGGGGGUCUGUGUUGGUCUGAGGGGGUCUGUGUUGGUCUGUGUUGGUCUGUGUUGGUCUGUGGGGGUCUGUGUUGGUCUGUGUUUGUCUGUGUUGGUCUGUGUUUGUCUGUGGGGGUCUGUGUUGGUCUGUGUUUGUCUGUGUUGGUCUGUGUUUGUCUGUGUUGGUCUGUGUUGGUCUGAGGGGGUCUGUGUUUGUCUUUGGGGGUCUGUGUUGGUCUGUGUUUGUCUGUGGGGGUCUGUGUUGGUCUGAGGGGGUCUGUGUUUGUCUGUGUUUGUCUGUGUUGGUCUGUGUUGGUCUGUGUUUGUCUGUGUUGGUCUGUGUUGGUCUGUGUUGGUCUUAGUGGGUCUGUGUUGGUCUUAGUGGGUCUGUGUUGGUCUGUGUUUGUCUGUGUUGGUCUGUGUUUGUCUGUGUUGGUCUGUGUUGGUCUGUGUUGGUCUGUGUUGGUCUUAGUGGGUCUGUGUUGGUCUUAGUGGGUCUGUGUUGGUCUGUGUUUGUCUGUGUUGGUCUGUGUUGGUCUGUGUUUGUCUGUGUUUGUCUGUGUGGGUCUGUGUUGGUCUGUGUUGGUCUGUGUGGGUCUGUGUUUGUCUGAGGGGGUCUGUGUUGGUCUGUGUUUGUCUGUGUUGGUCUGUGUUUGUCUGAGGGGGUCUGUGUUGGUCUGUGUUUGUCUGUGUUUGUCUGUGUUUGUCUGUGUUGGUCUGUGUUUGUCUGUGUUUGUCUGUGUUGGUCUGUGUUGGUCUGUGUUUGUCUGUGUUGGUCUGUGUUGGUCUGUGUUUGUCUGUGUUGGUCUGUGUUUGUCUGAGGGGGUCUGUGUUGGUCUGUGUUGGUCUGUGUUUGUCUGUGUUUGUCUGUGUUUGUCUGUGUUGGUCUGUGUCGGUCUGUGUCGGUCUGUGUUGGUCUGUGUUUGUCUGUGUUUGUCUGUGUUGGUCUGUGUUUGUCUGUGUCGGUCUGUGUGGGUCUGUGUUGGUCUGUGUUGGUCUGUGUUUGUCUGUGUGGGUCUGUGUGGGUCUGUGUUUGUCUGUGUUUGUCUGAGGGGGUCUGUGUUGGUCUGUGUUGGUCUGUGUUGGUCUGUGUGGGUCUGUGUGGGUCUGUGUUUGUCUGUGUUGGUCUGUGUUGGUCUGUGUUGGUCUGUGUUGGUCUGUGUUGGUCUGUGUUAGUCUGUGUUGGUCUGUGUUGGUCUGUGUUGGUCUGUGUUUGUGUUUGUCUGUGUUUGUCUGUGUUUGUCUGAGGUGGUCUGUGUUUGUCUGUGUUGGUCUGUGUUGGUCUGUGUGGGUCUGUGUUGGUCUGUGUUUGUGUUUGUCUGUGUUUGUCUGUGUUUGUCUGUGUUUGUCUGAGGUGGUCUGUGUUGGUCUGUGUUAGUCUGUGUUGGUCUGUGUUGGUCUGUGUUUGUGUUUGUCUGUGUUUGUCUGUGUUUGUCUGUGUUUGUCUGAGGUGGUCUGUGUUUGUCUGUGUUGGUCUGUGUUGGUCUGUGUUGGUCUUUGUUGGUCUGUGUUGGUCUGUGUUUGUGUUUGUCUGUGUUUGUCUGUGUUUGUCUGUGUUGGUCUGUGUUUGUCUGUGUUGGUCUGUGUUGGUCUGUGUUUGUCAGUGUUGGUCUGUGUUGGUCUGUGUUGGUCUGUGUUGGUCUGUCGGAGGCUCAGAUGGACCUGGACUGUGAUAUUCGAGGCUCCUGCUGCGGUGGGAGAGUCACGGCCAUCUGUCAGUGCGGAAAAGCUUCGCCGCUCCGAUCAACAUGUUUCCAUCAGUGACCACGAUGACCGGAUCAUUCUGCGGUUCUGUUCAGGACGUCCUCCAACAGAAUUAAAGUCUCUGGUCUUAAUAUCAGGGAGGAAAAAAGAGAAAAAAGAGAAAAAUCCUCUUUUUCUUCUUCUGAAGUCUUCCUCUGUUAGAGAGACCACGUCAUCCUCCUCCACCUGCUGCUCCUCCACCUGCUACUCCUCCACCUGCUGCUCCUCCACCUGCUGCUCCAUCCUUUUCACUCUGACUCUCACGUUCAGGUUUUAGCAUCAACAGCUGACUGAGGAGACGGUGUUCGAACCUCAGUCCUCUCAGCUGUGGAGUCACAGAAACCACGACAUGAAGAGACUUCUGAAAUAGGAACCUGGAGUCAGGGCUGAGCGAUGAAACGAUAACCAUCAAUAACGAAAAUUAAUUUCCCUCAAUAUCGAUAUAAAACAAAAAAGGGGAGUGUCUCCGGGUCUGAACCAAUCGUGUUCUGAAUUAGAACCAAGUAUCAACCAACUGCAGAGUGGUAUCAGUCUCUUUUCAUUGGAUCUGGUGGGUCUGCUCUGGUUUUGUUCCUCAUUGAUCCUGAUAAAUUGACCUGAUGGUCCUGAACCUGCAGCACUUAGUCGGGUCUGUUGGAGGUACCAGAGCAGACUUCAUGUUUUAUUAGUCCUCCCUGGUUUUCCUCUCUCUCUCUCUCUCUCUCUCUCUCUCUCUCUCUCUCUCUCUCUCUCCUCCUCUCUCUCUCUCUCUCUCUCUCUCUCUCUCCCUC